AACGAACGCUGGCGGCAGGCUUAACACAUGCAAGUCGAACGCGUGUAGCAAUACACGAGUGGCGCACGGGUGAGUAACGCGUGGAUAUCUGCCUUUUGGUUCGGGAUAACUCCGGGAAACUGGAGCUAAUACCGGAUGGUUCCUUCGGGAUAAAGAUUUAUCGCCAAAAGAUGAGUCCGCGUACGAUUAGCUAGUUGGUGAGGUAAUGGCUCACCAAGGCGACGAUCGUUAGCUGGUCUGAGAGGACGAUCAGCCACACUGGGACUGAGACACGGCCCAGACUCCUACGGGAGGCAGCAGUGGGGAAUAUUGGACAAUGGGGGCAACCCUGAUCCAGCCAUGCCGCGUGAGUGAUGAAGGCCUUCGGGUUGUAAAGCUCUUUUGGCGGGGACGAUGAUGACGGUACCCGCAGAAUAAGCCCCGGCUAACUUCGUGCCAGCCGCCGCCGUAAAAC
rnacentral:rRNA from 1 species